rnacentral:misc_RNA from 1 species
AACCAAAAAAAAAAGAUCUAAAGCAGAACCCUUUACAGCAUGAUCGGGAAAAAAAAAGACACAAGCCAAAAGGAAUGAGCUGAAAACAUGAAUAGCAUACUAGAGAUGCAAGAGGAGGCAUUGCAAAAUGCAAGGAACACAAUUAUUUUAGUUGCUACUUUGAUUGCAACAGUGGCUUUUGCUGCAGGAGUAAGUCCACCGGGUGGCGUAUAUCUACCAGGAUGGACCUAUGAAAGGGAAAUCUACUGCAGCAAGACAACAGCUGUCAAGGUUUUUGCAAUAAGUGACG